rnacentral:lncRNA from 1 species
UAUAAAUGGAUUUGUCAUUACAUGCUGUAAUAUUGAGCUGGCUUGUACGUCUGUAAAAGUAUGUGUGCUAUUUUUAACGGAUGUUUAUAACACUUACAUAUUUAUUCACAGGAAAUGGAAAGAACCAAUAAUUGUGCUCCCUCCAGUUAAAUGAGUUUAUUUGUUUUUUCUUUAGAGUUAUAAGUAGCCAUAGAGUAACUGGUUGUUUAUUGAUGCAGGGCAUAAAGCUAGAUCCUAUCUGUUGCUGCUCAUAAGAAUGAGUCGAGUAAUAGUGGAGACAAGUGGUGGUUUGAUUUAUUAUAGAAUCUUAUAGUGUAGAAUGAGCGCAGAGAUAAAAAACAGUAUUGACAUUAGCGUGUUAGCAAUAUUUAGCUGAAGUGUGUGCUUUUAAUGGUUGAUCUUCAAGCACAAAAAUGAAUGUUGGUAUUACGUUGUUCAAAAUUCUCCUUUAUUUUUUAACUGUACUGCACGGGUACUGUGCAUGCACAUUGAUAUUUUAUCAAGUACUUACUAUCUCUUGCCAGCUCAUACAUUACAGUGAAAAUAAGAUUUGACUGAUUUGUCUGGCUAAGCAAUUGCUUUGUUGAAUGUUAAAUUGACUGCAUUUGAAGGAGGUGCAA